rnacentral:rRNA from 1 species
GAUGAACGCUGGCGGUCUGCUUAACACAUGCAAGUCGAACGGAAUCCUUCGGGAUUUAGUGGCGGACGGGUGAGUAACACGUGAGAAUCUGCACUCAGGAUGGGGACAACAGCGGGAAACUGCUGCUAAUACCCAAUGUGCCGAAAGGUAAAAGAUUUAUCGCCUGAGAAUGAGCUCGCGGCCGAUUAGUUAGUUGGUGGGGUAAUGGCCUACCAAGACGGCGAUCGGUAGCUGGUCUGAGAGGAUGAGCAGCCACACUGGGACUGGGACACGGCCCAGACUCCUACGGGAGGAAGCAGUGGGGAAUUUUCCGCAAUGGGCGCAAGCCUGACGGAGCAAGACCGCGUGGGGGAGGAAGGCUCUUGGGUUGUAAACCCCUUUUCUCAAGGAAGAACAAAAUGACGGUACUUGAGGAAUCAGCCUCGGCUAACUCCGUGCCAGCCGCCACCGUAAAAC